rnacentral:tRNA from 1 species
AAAGUAGUAGCUUAAUUUGACAGAGCGUAGUCUAGUAAAGACUAUAAUGUGAGUUCAAUUCUUACCUACUUUU